UACGGGGGGGGCAAGCGUUGUUCGGAAUUACUGGGCGUAAAGGGUUCGUAGGUGGCCAACUAAGUCAGACGUGAAAUCCCUCAGCUUAACUGGGGAACUGCGUCUGAGACUGGAUGGCUUGAGUGCAGGAGAGGAACGCGGAAUUCCAGGUGUAGCGGUGAAAUGCGUAGAUAUCUGGAGGAAUACCGGUGGCGAAGGCGGCAUCCUGGACCGACAUUGACGCUGAUGAGCGAAAGCCAGGGGAGCAAACGGG
rnacentral:rRNA from 1 species